UGGGGAAUAUUGGACAAUGGGCGCAAGCCUGAUCCAGCCAUGCCGCUGGUGUGAAGAAGGCCUUAUGGUUGUAAAGCACUUUAAGCGAGGAGGAGGCUACUUUAGUUAAUACCUAGAGAUAGUGGACGUUACUCGCAGAAUAAGCACCGGCUAACUCUGUGCCAGCAGCCGCGGUAAUACAGAGGGUGCAAGCGUUAAUCGGAUGUACUGGGCGUAAAGCGCGCGUAGG
rnacentral:rRNA from 1 species